ensembl:lncRNA
AAAAAAAAGACAUGUUUGCGUUUGGAAAAGUGUUUCAACCAUGAAAACGUUUUGUGUGUGUUCAGCAUGUUAGUAGUGUAGAGUAAACAGGCGAGUGAGUCCAAAAUGUAGUCAAUUGAUCCGUUAUAAAGGUGAGACGGCAUAAAGAACAGCUGUCUCUGCAGAGCUGUGAAGGACAGUCAGGGUGAUGCUGUGGAAAGAUGAACAGUAUAAUAACCACACAACCCAGUUUUUGUGACGUGACCCCUGACAGAAUAACACGUAGGAACCGCAGGAGCUUGGAGGGUCCUUCCACAAUACCUGCCUUCCUUUAGUUCAGGGUGGCUGUUUGAACCCUGCUGUGGUGGUAAUUAUCACGCCCCAUCAGCGAGAGGCACGGGGAGGCUUGUGUGAAUAAUUACUUGCCUAAUCCUCACUAUUAGAUAACACUGAUUAGGGCAAUACCUGACCUGGUUGAGUGUUGCGGACAGUGGAAUGACUGACGGGAAAACACCUCAGGGAGAAAUGGGUUGCAGUGGAGGAAGCGAGCAUGGACAAAGGAGAAUAAAGGCAGGAGUCAGGUUUGCAUGAAUGGUGUAGAUAGCGUGAUGUGGUACUGAUGAAGAGAAAUACACAGGACAUUUUGGGGAUGGUGUGAUAAAGCAGUAUGAUGAGUUUAUGGAUUUGAGAGCAUGCUGAUGGUGAAUAUCACAUGACUCACGGUCAUGAGUGUUGCAAUCAUGACUGGAGUCAUUAAAGUACAAGUUAUUUCUUGAAGGGCCAGUAAAUGUUCAUCUAUCACAAACAGACAGUAAACGUGUGGAUGCGUGCACAGAACACUUAACCAGAAUUGGUUGCAAAUUGAAUCAUAUUUCAUCUGUCUGUCUUCCAUUCAGUCUCUUGUUGUCUCUGUCUACUUUCCCUCUCUGGCUCGGUUCCUUUUUGCAUUUCCUCUCUUUCCCAGUGAGCACAGACUGACUUGAGAUGACCAUGCAUGACCAUUAUUGAACCUGGGUGACUUUAACUGGAUUG